rnacentral:rRNA from 1 species
GAUGAACGCUGGCGGCGUGCCUAAUACAUGCAAGUCGAGCGAACAGACGAGGAGCUUGCUCCUCUGACGUUAGCGGCGGACGGGUGAGUAACACGUGGAUAACCUACCUAUAAGACUGGGAUAACUUCGGGAAACCGGAGCUAAUACCGGAUAAUAUAUUGAACCGCAUGGUUCAAUAGUGAAAGACGGUUUUGCUGUCACUUAUAGAUGGAUCCGAGCCGCAUUAGCUAGUUGGUAAGGUAACGGCUUACCAAGGCAAUGAUGCGUAGCCGACCUGAGAGGGUGAUCGGCCACACUGGAACUGAGACACGGUCCAGACUCCUACGGGAGGCAGCAGUAGGGAAUCUUCCGCAAUGGGCGAAAGCUUGACGGAGCAACGCCGCGUGAGUGAUGAAGGUCUUCGGAUCGUAAAACUCUGUUAUUAGGGAAGAACAAAUGUGUAAGUAACUAUGCACGUCUUGACGGUACCUGAUCAAAAAGCCACGGCUAACUACGUG